CCAGGUUGAAAUUAUAACUUUACUUUUACAUUUGAAAUGUCACCAAAUCCUGAUGAAUGUUGCUUUCUAUAUGUUUGAGAUGUGUUUUAUUGCCUAUUUCUAUGCCUAAAUGUUGUAUUCAGGUCAGGGUGUUAAGACCUGUACUGCCACUUUAAGAGAUCGCAGGUCUCGUCGUCAUCCGGGUGCUUCUCUCAGUUCGCGCCAGACUAGCUGAGAGGAGGAGCUUGAGACCUGUGUGCUGUGUGGAGGAGACUGCAUGUUACAGAGCCUUGUAUGUUUUUCUGUUGAUUUGUACAGAGACAAAUCCAUCGUCCUGCCUUCAUUAAAAGAACAACCAACAGCUGGUCGUGAUCCGAGUCCUUCCUUCAUUCGGCGC